rnacentral:piRNA from 1 species
UCCCUGGGGAUAGGACAUAAAGGC